ensembl:lncRNA
AGUCUACUACUGAGAGGGUUAUGAAGCAUGUUUUGGAAGCAUAAACCCUCCUCUCUGAACACACGCAGCUAGAAAAGAUUAAAAAAUGGCAGCAGAGGAGCACUCUGACAAAAUGACAUCUGACAUGGAAGCACAGAUAAAGCAAAGGUGUGGAACUGAAUUGGUCCAUGCAGACAUUCGUCGAUGCUUGUUGAACAUUUAUGGAAACCAGACAGUGCAUAUGAGCACAACGAGGAGAUGGUUGGCGUGUUACAGCAGUAAUGACAGCAACAUGAAAGACAAGCCACAUUCCAGACAAUGCACAGCUGUCACACUACAAAAUGAAGAGCAUCUCAAUCAGUUCACCCACAUGUUUUUGGCAGAUUACGACCAGGGAAUUGUGUAUGGAGCUGAAUAUUGAUGUCAAUGCUUUGGAAAUGGUGGCAGCAAUGUUGGAAUAUCACAAAGAUAGUGCCAAGUGGUUUCUAUGAAUACUCAAGUGGGAACGGAAAGAGCAACAUAUGCAAGUUUGUCAGGACCUAUGGAACAAUACGAGAAUAGAGGUAACAGUUUUCAGAACACUUGUGUGCAAACAUAAUGGAACAGGCAAGAGUUAGUAGUCUUGCAUAAGGUGGUCUUGUAUGCCCGCCCCCCACAACCACAGUGCUCCAUGACCACCAUGUGAAGGCGGAAGCAUGGCCGGUAUGGCAAGUGCAUGGCAUGUGAUACUGAACUCUGUCCACCUGGCAACUUCUCCAGGCCCAAUUGGAAGAAACCAUCGUAUGGCAUAAAAGUCAUUGCCAACCAUACAGCCAGCAGCACUCACCCCAUCACAUCCUCAACCACCCUGGAAGGGGAAGAAGGAUGGACCCUCUGGACUUGCUUUUCUUCCUUUUUUUUUUUUUAUCUCUUUCCUUUUCUUCUGUUUUCUUUUUUCUCUCUCAUUUGCCCUUCUUUUAAUAAAUAAAGGCACGUUCUUGCUUGAUCAACAACUUGACUCCAUCCUGAGUCUUAAUUUGGAGGGAUUGGGCUCAGUACAGUGAACCACAAACUUCUUCAGCUUGCAACACAUAUGAAUUCUCCAUUGAAGAAAAAUUCAAGACACAGCUCUCAGCCUGCAAAGUGAUGUGCAGUCUUUUGGGAUAGGAAAGAGAUGAUUCUUCCAGGCAAACUGACAGCUACAUCAUGACUGACUAUGCUGAAGGCUCAAAAUUCCAGACUCAGGCCAGAGAAGAAGACAAUCUUUCUCUUGCAAUAUGACAACACCAGCCUCUAAAACAGCCUCAAGACCGUGGAGUGUACUGUCAACCCUGGCUGGACAGUUCUACCACAUCCACUGUAUAGUCCAUAUUUGAUUCCUCCCGAUUUCCAUGUGUUUGGGCUGAAGAAAGAUGGACAGCUUGGGCAACAUUUUCCUAGCAAAAAUGCUGUCAUAGCAGGUAUGAAACAAUGGGUCAACUCUGCUGGUGUGGAUUUGUACGAGCUCAGCAUGAAGGCUUGUGUUCACUAACAAAAAUGUAUAGCUAAUUCUGGUGACUAUGUUAAAAAGCAGUGUUUUUUAGAUGAGAAUUUGCUCCAUCUAAUAGUGUUAUUGUAAUCUUUGUCAUAUUUUUCAUGGAAAUAAACAGGAGGCAUUACUUACAGAGUGGUCUACAUAUAUAAAUUAUCUUUAUUCUAGUGAAGACUGUGAAAAUGCAAGAAUUUGUAUUAACCAGUGAGCCCAUCUACAGUCUACACAUCUACUGCUUAGGAAAGAUUAAUAUGUUUCUGAUAUUAGAGGCCUAUUGGAUAGCCUAUGAAGCAGCAUUUAAUUUGUGUGUCUGUGGAAACUGUACUUGUGUCAGAAAAAUAAAGAAGUCACCUUUCUGCUUAUUGCUUAUUGAAAUUAUUUGCACAGUGCAGAAGAGAAACAAAAGAAAAAUUAAAAGACCUUUUAAACUUCAAUAUUUUCAGACUUGAUACUAAAUAUAGCUCUGACCUGAAUCUGCAGCUCUAUGAUUCAAGUAACUCAUAUUUAAAUCAAUACUAAACUGAAUAUGACUUCUGAGUUUGAUUUCAGUCCUGUGAUAUGUCAAUAACAUUGAGUGAAUUCAGUGAAAGGCACUCCCUAAGAUAGUAGCAGAUCACAGGCUUUCCAUGUCACAUCACUUUUGUGUUCCACUUUUAAGAGUAUAGACUAACUGUUUUAAUAUGGCUUUUCCAUCACUACCUUAUAUGCUUUCCUUAUCUUUCUACAGCAUUUAUAAGAUCUUUCUUUCAGGACUGAUUUUCCUCACACUCCAAGUCUGCUUACAGUUCUGUUCUUUUGAUUCUGUUUCCAGAUGUCUGUGCUGUCAAUUUACUCCUGUUUUCACUCACUUAGUCUUUUCCCUAAGUUACAGACCUCGAGAUCUGUCUUUCGAUAAUUCUGUCUCCAGCAGUCAUGACCACUGCAGUCUUGUUUUUGUUCUGUGAUUAAGUGCAAAACACAAAGUUCUUGUUUCAAUUGUAAUUUUAUUAUUAAACUUCCAUAAUUCUCUUGAG